rnacentral:lncRNA from 1 species
GUGAACCUUUUCCUGCGAGGAAGGAGACCUGGUUGCUGUUCAACUGUCCCUAAAACUAAGUGAUAUUUGCAACUUAGCUUCCCUGAUCCUUAGGAUUAAUCCAUGAAAAAAUGGGCUGGUACUGAAGAGACUCCACAGUUCUAAUCCUAAAUGAUUGAGAUUUAAAUGUGUAAGAUUCACUAGUUCAUCAAAACUUUCAUAUUUUCAACGCAGGUUAUAUUAGAUAGUGAAGAAAAAUGAAAACCUCAAAAACUGAAUUUAAACAAGCUGUAGUUUAAGUUUGCUUCAGCUACUUACAAAGUAUAUCAUUUUGGACAUGUUAUUUAAUGUCAAAUGAACUUUUUCUUUAAAAAUGUAAACAAUGUUAUGAAAUUCAUACUGUACCUAAGGACAACAAAUAAAAUGAUGUGUGAAGACAGAA